AUUGAACGCUGGCGGCAGGCCUAACACAUGCAAGUCGAACGAGUGGCGGACGGGUGAGUAAUGUCUGGGAAACUGCCUGAUGGAGGGGGAUAACUACUGGAAACGGUAGCUAAUACCGCAUACAAUCAGAUGGGCCAGGAUGGGAUUUGCAAGUUGGUGGGGGAAAGGCGCACCAAGGGGACGAUCCCUAGCUGGUCUGAGAGGAUGACCAGCCACACUGGAACUGAGACACGGUCCAGACUCCUACGGGAGGCAGCAGUGGGGAAUAUUGCACAAUGGGCGCAAGCCUGAUGCAGCCAUGCCGCGUGUAUGAAGAAGGCCUUCGGGUUGUAAAGUACUUUCAGCGGGGAGGCGUUACCCGCAGAAGAAGCACCGGCUAACUCCGUGCCAGCAGCCGCGGUAAUAC
rnacentral:rRNA from 1 species